rnacentral:lncRNA from 1 species
GUAGAAAAAAAAAUACUGGACGAAAUUAAAGUGUCCAUCAUAAGAUGUUGAGGGGCUAAUAGCCCAAAAUCCAAAGAUGUUAGGGGGUUAUAUGAUAGAGGACUAUUUGAUAUUUCAUCCUUAUUUAUUUUAUUUUUAUUUAUACAAAUUAAAAUUUUCAAUAUUAAAUUAAUUAAAAUAAACAAUAACAAAAAUGAAGUAAAUAUAGAUAAUUAAAAGAAAAAAAUAAAUAAAAAAGUUGAAAAAAUAAAAUAAAAAAUAAUUAACCCUACACCACCCCACCGUGUAUGAUAUAAUGAAUGAGGGAAUGGAAUCAUCAUUCCUAUCUUCAUUCUAACAUUUGUUGAAUACUUUCUUCGUUCUUUAAAAUUAUGCCUUUAUUUUCUUUUUGGUAUGUCUCUCAAAUAUUAUUCUUUUUAUUUUCGUAC